AGUGCAAUUACUGGAUCAUAUGGUAAGAGAAUGCUUCAUUUUUUAAUAAACUGCCAAGCUAUUGUUCAAAGGGGAUGUACAAUUUUUCAUUCCCACCAGCAGU
rnacentral:pre_miRNA from 1 species